AUUUUUUUGGUUUUUU
rnacentral:sRNA from 1 species